CGGGGAUUAGUGGCGAACGGGUGAGUAACACGUGGGCAAUCUGCCCUGCACUCUGGGAUAAGCCCGGGAAACUGGGUCUAAUACCGGAUACGACACAUGAGGGCAUCCUCGUGUGUGGAAAGUUCCGGCGGUGCAGGAUGAGCCCGCGGCCUAUCAGCUUGUUGGUGGGGUAGUGGCCUACCAAGGCGACGACGGGUAGCCGGCCUGAGAGGGUGACCGGCCACACUGGGACUGAGACACGGCCCAGACUCCUACGGGAGGCAGCAGUGGGGAAUAUUGCACAAUGGGCGAAAGCCUGAUGCAGCGACGCCGCGUGAGGGAUGACGGCCUUCGGGUGUAAACCUCUUUCAGCAGGGAAGAAGCGAAAGUGACGGUACCUGCAGAAGAAGCACCGGCUAACUACGUGCCAGCAGCCGCGGUAAUACGUAGGGUGCAAGCGUUGUCCGGAAUUAUUGGGCGUAAAGAGCUCGUAGGCGGCCUGUCGCGUCGAUUGUGAAAGCCCAGGGCUUAACCCUGGGUCUGCAGUCGAUACGGGCAGGCUAGAGUUCGGUAGGGGAGAUCGGAAUUCCUGGUGUAGCGGUGAAAUGCGCAGAUAUCAGGAGGAACACCGGUGGCGAAGGCGGAUCUCUGGGCCGAUACUGACGCUGAGGAGCGAAAGCGUGGGGAGCGAACAGGAUUAGAUACCCUGGUAGUCCACGCCGUAAACGGUGGGCACUAGGUGUGGGCAACAUUCCACGUUGUCCGUGCCGCAGCUAACGCAUUAAGUGCCCCGCCUGGGGAGUACGGCCGCAAGGCUAAAACUCAA
rnacentral:rRNA from 1 species